rnacentral:rRNA from 1 species
UACGGAGGGGGCUAGCGUUGUUCGGAAUUACUGGGCGUAAAGCGCACGUAGGCGGCUUUGUAAGUUAGAGGUGAAAGCCCGGGGCUCAACUCCGGAACGGCCUUUAAGACUGCAUCGCUUGAAUUGUGGAGAGGUAAGUGGAAUUCCGAGUGUAGAGGUGAAAUUCGUAGAUAUUCGGAAGAACACCAGUGGCGAAGGCGACUUACUGGACACAUAUUGACGCUGAGGUGCGAAAGCGUGGGAGCAACAGG